rnacentral:rRNA from 1 species
GAAAUAAAAUUUUAGCUUAUUAGUAAGGUUUACGUGGUAAAUAGAAGUGAAACGAAACUAAGAAAUCAAUAGUAAAGUUGGUUUAUAAGAAACGUCUGAAUUUAGUAGUAUUGGUGAGUGAAAAUUUAAUAAAGUUGGCUGUAGAGAAUAAGUACUGUAAAGGAAAAUGUGAUUGUAGGUUUUGUAUAUAUUUAGUAGAAAUUAAUUUUUGUACCUUUUGUAUCAUGGUUCUUUUAGAUUAUAGAUUUAAUUAAAUAUUCCCGAAAAAAUUUGAGCUAUUCUUAAGCUUUGCGUCAACGUUGUAAAGUUGUGCUUAGAUUUAAGAAUAGGGGUGAAAUGCUUGACGAAAAUUUUGAUAGCUGGUUAAUCAGGAAAUAUAUUAAAGUAUAGGGUAGUUUUGUUAAUUUUCUUAAUAUUAUUUAGUUAAUAAAAGUAAAAAUAAAAAAAAUCUCAGGUAAAAAAGGAUAAGCUUUUUUAUUAGUACAAGAACUUUUUGAAAAUAAAAAUAAAUGCAGUAGGCUUAGAAUUAGUCAUUUGUUAUUAAACUUGUUAUAAAGUAAUUUAAUUCAAAAUUAAGAUUAUAUAUAUAUAAAAAAUUUCUGUGUAAGUAAGUAAUACUGAUUUAAUUGUUGGAAUCAAAAAAAACAAUGAAUUUCUGUGGAAAUGAGUAUUAAUAAUUUAGUUAAAAUUUUCUGGUUGAUUUUUUAAAAGAAUAAGCUUUGCGUACGAUUUGUAAAUAAAUAAUAAUAUUAAGUUGUAAGCUUAAGUAAUUAAAAUUUUUAAUAAAAUUCUGGAAAAGGAACUCGGCAAAAAUUGGCUUCGCCUGUUUAUCAAAAACAUCUCUCUUUGUAUAAAGUUAUUUAAAGAGUCGGACCUGCCCGGUGACUAAAAGUUAAACGGCCGCGGUACCCUGACCGUGCAAAGGUAGCAUAAUCAUUUGCCUUUUAAUUGGAGGCUGGUAUGAAUGGUUUGACGAGAGCUAAGCUGUCUCUUUCAGAAUAAAUAGAAUUUAACUUUUAGGUGAAGAGGCCUAAAUUUAUUUGAGGGACAAGAAGACCCUAUUGAGCUUUAGUGGUGUUGUAAAUUAAGUAUAUAAUAAGUGAAUUUGUUAAUAAAUCUCACUUAAGUUAAAAGUAAAUAUGGUUUUAUAAUUUAUCUUUACAAAAAAUCUUUAGUUGGGGCGACUGAGGAACAAAAAAAGCUUCCUUAAAUAAGUUAAGAAUUAUGAAUAUUAAAAGAUUUAUAUUAUUUUUACUAAAUAGAGUUGAUCCAAAAAUUUUGAUCAAUGGAAAAAGUUACCAUAGGGAUAACAGCGUAAUCUUUCUGGAGAGAUCAAAUCGAAAGGAGGGUUUGCGACCUCGAUGUUGGACUAAGAUAUCCGGAGGGUGUAGAAGUUCUCAAUGGUUGGUCUGUUCGACCAUUAAAAUCUUACGUGAUCUGAGUUCAGACCGGCGUGAGCCAGGUUGGUUUCUAUCUUCAAAGAAAUGGUUUUUCUGUGGCUAGUACGAAAGGAUCGUCAUAAAGAUAACUAAGUUAAAAUUUUUUGAUUUCGUGUAAUAGAAUUUAAGUUUUAGAGUUGUUAUUAGAAAUAUAUAAGCGUA